rnacentral:ncRNA from 1 species
UGAUAGCUAUGAAGCGCGAGGUUGCUGGCAUAAAGCCAGGUUUUCCGUGGAGCGAAUGUCAAGUUAGGAAACUGACGACAA